UACGGAGGGUGCGAGCGUUAAUCGGAAUGACUGGGCGUAAAGGGUGCGUAGGUGGUUUGAUAAGUUAACUGUGAAAUUCCUGGGCUCAACCUGGGGUGGUCAGUUAAGACUGUUGGACUGGAGUAUGGGAGAGGGUAGUGGAAUUUCCGGUGUAGCGGUGAAAUGCGUAGAGAUCGGAAGGAACACCGGUGGCGAAGGCGGCUACCUGGCCUGAUACUGACACUGAGGCACGAAAGCGUGGGGAGCAAACAGGAUUAGAAACCCUGGUAGU
rnacentral:rRNA from 1 species